UACGAAGGGGGGCUAGCGUUGUUCGGAAUUACUGGGCGUAAAGCGUGCGCAGGCGGUUCUAUAAGACAGAUGUGAAAUCCCCGGGCUCAACCUGGGAACUGCAUUUGUGACUGCAUAGCUAGAGUACGGUAGAGGGGGAUGGAAUUCCGCGUGUAGCGGUGAAAUGCGUAGAUAUCAGGAGGAACACCGGUGGUGUAAACGGCUUUCUGGACCAUAACUGACACUGAGGCACGAAAGCGUGGGUAGCAAACAGG
rnacentral:rRNA from 1 species